rnacentral:rRNA from 1 species
ACGGAGGAUGCGAGCGUUAUCCGGAUUUAUUGGGUUUAAAGGGUGCGUAGGUGGACUGUUUAGUCAGUGGUGAAAUGCUGAUGCUCAACGUUAGCAUUGCCGUUGAAACUGACAGUCUUGAGAGUGAUUGAGGCAGGCGGAAUGUGUGGUGGAGGGGUAAAAAGCAAAAAUCCCACGAAGAACCCAAGUGGCGAAGGCAGCUUCCAAAGCCACAACUGACACUGAAGCACGAAAGCGUGGGGAUCAAACAG